rnacentral:tRNA from 1 species
GCCUGAAUGGCUUAGUGGGUUAAGCAUCCGACUUCCGCUCAGGUCAUGAUGUCACGGCUCAUGAGUUCAAGCCCCGUGUCAGGCU